rnacentral:rRNA from 1 species
GGAAUCUUGCGCAAUGGGCGAAAGCCUGACGCAGCGACGCCGCGUGUGGGAUGACGGCCUUCGGGUUGUAAACCACUGUCGCGAGGGACGAAGAUCUGACGGUACCUCGAAAGGAAGCACCGGCUAACUCUGUGCCAGCAGCCGCGGUAAUACAGAGGGUGCGAGCGUUGUCCGGAAUCACUGGGCGUAAAGGGCGCGUAGGCGGCCGGGUAAGUAGAGGGUGAAAUCUCGUGGCUCAACCGCGAGGCUGCCUUCUAGACUGUCUGGCUUGAGCACGGUAGAGGCUGGUGGAAUUCCCGGUGUAGCGGUGGAAUGCGUAGAGAUCGGGAGGAACAUCGGUGGCGAAGGCGGCCAGCUGGGCCGUUGCUGACGCUGAGGCGCGAAAGCGUGGGGAGCAAAC